CUACGGGAUGCUCCAGUGAGGAAUAUUGCACAAUGGAGGAAACUCUGAUGCAGCAACGCCGCGUGGAGGAUGACGCAUUUCGGUGUGUAAACUCCUUUUAUGAGUCAAGAAAAUGACGGUAGCUCAUGAAUAAGCACCGGCUAACUCCGUGCCAGCAGCCGCGGUAAUACGGAGGGUGCAAGCGUUACUCGGAAUCACUGGGCGUAAAGGACGCGUAGGCGGGAUAUCAAGUCAGGUGUGAAAUCCUACAGCUUAACUGUAGAACUGCACUUGAAACUGGUAACCUAGAGUAUGGGAGGGGGAGAUGGAAUUAGUGGUGUAGGGGUAAAAUCCGUAGAUAUCACUAGGAAUACCUAAAGCGAAGGCGAUCUCCUGGAACAUAACUGACGCUAAGGCGUGAAAGCGUGGGGAGCAAACAGGAUUAGAUACCCUCGUAGUC
rnacentral:rRNA from 1 species